AUUUAACUCUAUUUAAUGUUAUAUCCUCUUUUUUAUUUUUUUUUUAUUCUAUAUUUGUAAAAUGUUUUAGUUUUUGAUUUAUUUUGAGGAUGUAUAAAAUUUGGUGUUUGAACUGGAUUAGUACCCAGGUAAUCAAAGUUUAUUAAUUCGGGAGUAAAGUUUGAUUUAAACCGAAAAAAUAUUGACUGACCUUGGAUUUUUCUUUGGAAUAUGUGAUUUUUGGAUAGUCCUCCUUAUUAGUUAAUUUUGUUGGCGCAUGUAUGAUUGUUUAGUUUUUAUUUUAUUUGUAAUGCUUAUUAUGAUUUUUAUUUUAAAACAGAUAUAUAUUUGGCUUAUGGGUUGAUAUUUCAUGUGUUACUAUUAUUAAUUUUUUUUUGGAUUUUUUAUUAAUGUUUUUUUGAAAUUGGAAAAGAAAGUAAUUGAUUUUUUUAUGUUUGGAUGAAUUUAAUAAACAAGGUGGUACAAACU
rnacentral:rRNA from 1 species